ACGUGUAGCAGUGAAAUGCGUAGAGAUGUGGAGGAACACCGAUGGCGAAGGCAGCCCCCUGGGAUAACACUGACGCUCAUGCACGAAAGCGUGGGGAGCAAACAGGAUUAGAUACCCUGGUAGUCCACGCCCUAAACGAUGUCAACUGGUUGUUGGAAGGGUAACCUUUUAGUAACGAAGCCAACGCGUGAAGUUGACCGCCUGGGGAGUACGGUCGCAAGAUUAAAACUCAAAGGAAUUGACGGGGACCCGCACAAGGUGUGGAUGAUGUGGUUUAAUUCGAUGCAACGCGAAAAACCUUACCUACACUUGACAUGCCAGAAAUCCUGCAGAGAUGUGGGAGUGCCGCAAGGAAUCUGGGCACAGGUGCUGCAUGGCUGUCGUCAGCUCGUGUCGUGAGAUGUUGGGUUAAGUCCCGCAACGAGCGCAACCCUUGUCACUAGUUGCUACAUUUAGUUGGGCACUCUAGUGAGACUGCCGGUGACAAACCGGAGGAAGGUGGGGAUGACGUCAAGUCCUCAUGGCCCUUAUGUGUAGGGCUACACACGUCAUACAAUGGUCGGUACAGAGGGUUGCCAACCCGCGAGGGGGACCUAAUCUCACAAAGCCGAUCGUAGUCCGGAUCGCAGUCUGCAACUCGACUGCAUGAAGUCGGAAUCGCUAGUAAUCGUGGAUCAGCAUGUCUCGGUGAAUACGUUCCCGGGUCUUGUACACACCGCCCGUCACACCAUGGGAGUGGAAUCCGCCAGAAGUAGUUAGCCUAACCGCAAGGAGGGCGAUUACCACGGUAGGUUUCAUGACUGGGGUG
rnacentral:rRNA from 1 species